CCUACGGGAGACAGCAGUGGGGAAUAUUGCACAAUGGGGGAAACCCUGAUGCAGCGACGCCGCGUGAGUGAAGAAGGAAUUCGUUAUGGAAAGCUCUAUCAGCAGGGAAGAAAAUGACGGUACCUGAGUAAGAAGCCCCGGCUAACUACGUGCCAGCAGCCGCGGUAAUACGUAGGGGGCAAGCGUUAUCCGGAUUUAAUGGGUGUAAAGGGGGCGUAGACGGCAGUGAAAGUCUGGAGGGAAAGGCGGGGGCUCAACCCCCGGACUGCUGUGGAAACUGUGCGGCUGGAGUGCAGGAGAGGUAUGCGGAAUGCCUGGUGUAGCGGUGAAAUGCUUAGAUAUCAGGAAGAACACCGGUGGCGAAGGCGGCCUACUGGACUGUAACUGACGUUGAGGCUCGAAAGCGUGGGGAUCGAACAGGAUUAGAUACCCUAGUAGUC
rnacentral:rRNA from 1 species